AGCAGCCGCGGUAAUUCCAGCUCCAAUAGCGUAUAUUAAAGUUGUUGCAGUUAAAAAGCUCGUAGUUGAAUUUCGGAAUCUGUCCGUUGGUCGGGCUUAACUGUCCGUACUGAUGUGAUGGGUUCUUACCUUCUGAAUAACCAGCAUGUCAUUAAUUUGGUGUGUUGGGGAAGCAGGACUAUUACCUUGAAAAAAUUAGAGUGCUCAAAGCAGGCUAGUGCCUGAAUACAUUAGCAUGGAAUAAUAAAAUAGGACGGCAUGGUUCUAUUUUGUUGGUUUCUAGGAUCACCGUAAUGAUUAAUAGGGAUAGUUGGGGGCAUUAGUAUUCAAUUGUCAGAGGUGAAAUUCUUGGAUUUAUUGAAGACUAACUACUGCGAAAGCAUUUGCCAAGGAUGUUUUCAUUAAUCUAAGAACGAAAGUUAGGGGAUCGAAGACGAUCAGAUACCGUCGUAGUCUUAACCAUAAACUAUGCCGACUAGGGAUCGGAUGAUGUUAAUUUUAAUGA
rnacentral:rRNA from 1 species